rnacentral:rRNA from 1 species
UUCCGGUUGAUCCUGCCGGACCUGACUGCUAUCGGAUUGAUACUAAGCCAUGCGAGUCAUUGUAGCAAUACAAGGCAGACGGCUCAGUAACGCGUAGUCAACCUACCCUAUGGACGGGAAUAACCUCGGGAAACUGAGUAUAAUGCCCGAUAGAACAUUAUGCCUGGAAUGGGUUUAUGUUCCAAAUGAUUUAUCGCCGUAGGAUGGGACUGCGGCCUAUAGUUUGUUGGUGAGGUAAUGGCCCACCAAGACUAUUACAGGUACGGGCUCUGAGAGGAGUGGCCCGGAGAUGGGUACUGAGACACGGACCCAGGCCCUAUGGGGCGCAGCAGGCGAGAAAACUUUGCAAUGUGCGAAAGCACGACAAGGUUAAUCCGAGUGGUUUCUGCUAAAGGAACCUUUUGUUAGUCCUAGAAACACUAACGAAUAAGGGGUGGGCAAGUUCUGGUGUCAGCCGCCGCGGUAAAACCAGCACCUCAGUGGUCAGGAUGAUUAUUGGGCCUAAAGCAUCCGUAGCCGGCUCUGUAAGUUUUCGGUUAAAUCUGUAUGCUCAACAUACAGGCCGCCGAAAAUACUGCAGAGCUAGGGAGUGGGAGAGGUAGACGGUACUCGGGAGGAAGUGGUAAAAUGCUUUGAUCUCUCGAUGACCACCUGUGGCGAAGGCGGUCUACCAGAACACGUCCGACGGUGAGGGAUGAAAGCUGGGGGAGCAAACCGGAUUAGAUACCCGGGUAGUCCAGCUGUAAACUAUGCAAACUCAGUGAUGCAUUGGCUUGUGGCCAAUGCAGUGUUGCAGGGAAGCCGUUAAGUUUGCCGCCUGGGAAGUACGUACGCAAGUAUGAAACUUAAAGGAAUUGGCGGGGGAGCACCACAAGGGGUGAAGCCUGCGGUUCAAUUGGAGUCAACGCCGGA